CUACCACAUCCAAGGAAGGCAGCAGGCGCGCAAAUUACCCACUCCCGGCACGGGGAGGUAGUGACGAAAAAUAACAAUACGGGACUCUUUUGAGACCCCGUAAUUGGAAUGAGUACACUCCAAACCAUUUAACGAGGAUCCAUUGGAGGGAAAGUCUGGUGCCAGCAGCCGCGGUAACUCCAGCUCCAAUAGCGUAUAUUAAAGUUGUUGCGGUUAAAAAGCUCGUAGUUGGAUCUCAGUUCCAGACGGGCGGUCCGCCUACCGGCGGUCACUGCCCCGUUCUGAACAACCAGGCGUCUAGCUUUGAUGAUCUUCGUCGGUUGUCAUCGUUGGACGCCGAGUUUACUUUGAAAAAAUUAGAGUGCUCAAAGCAGGCGUGACGCCUGAAUAAUGGUGCAUGGAAUAAUGGAAUAGGACCUCGGUUCUAUUGUGUUGGUUUUCGGAACACGAGGUAAUGAUUAAGAGGGACAGACGGGGGCAUUCGUAUUGCGACGCUAGAGGUGAAAUUCUUGGACCGUCGCAGGACGAACUACUGCGAAAGCAUUUGCCAAGAAUGUUUCCAUUAAUCAAGAACGAAAGUUAGAGGUUCGAAGGCGAUCAGAUACCGCCCUAGUUCUAACCAUAAACGAUGCCAGCCAGCGAUCCGGCUGUGUUCCUCAAAUGACACGCCGGGCAGCUUCCGGGAAACCAAAGCUUUUGGGUUCCGGGGGAAGUAUGGUU
rnacentral:rRNA from 1 species